rnacentral:rRNA from 1 species
UACGAAGGGGGCUAGCGUUGUUCGGAAUUACUGGGCGUAAAGCGUGCGUAGGCUGUUCGGCAAGUUGGAAGUGAAAGCCCAGGGCUCAACCCUGGAAUUGCUUUCAAAACUGCCGAACUAGAGUCCGGGAGAGGAUAGCGGAAUUUCCAGUGUAGUAGUGAAAUACGUAGAUAUUGGAAGGAACACCAGUGGCGCAAGCGGCUAUCUGGACCGGUACUGACGCUGAGGCACGAAAGCGUGGGGAUCAAACAGG